UCUUAUGUGGAAAUGUCUACUCCUCAUUCAUUUGGGGCCAGGAAUAUAUCCACAGCUUACUGUACUAAAAAAUACUAAUAAGAGAGUGUUCACAGGGGUACCAACCUUACAGUCAAGGUUAAGUAGUAGUAGAUUUCUUUCUUUUUUA
rnacentral:snoRNA from 1 species